rnacentral:rRNA from 1 species
GACAGUGGGUGCAAACGUUGUUCGGAAUUACUGGGCGUAAAGCGAGUGUAGGCGGUUCGAUAAGUCGGAUGUGAAAGCCCCGGGCUCAACCCGGGAAGUGCACUCGAUACUGUCGAGCUAGAGUAUCGGAGAGGUUGGUGGAAUUCUCGGUGUAGAGGUGAAAUUCGUAGAUAUCGAGAGGAACACCGGUGGCGAAGGCGGCCAACUGGACGAAUACUGACGCUGAGACUCGAAAGCGUGGGGAGCAAACAGG